rnacentral:rRNA from 1 species
UACGGAAGGCAGCAGUGGGGAAUAUUGCACAAUGGGCGCAAGCCUGAUGCAGCCAUGCCGCGUGUAUGAAGAAGGCCUUCGGGUUGUAAAGUACUUUCAGUCGUGAGGAAGGUGUUAAGGUUAAUAACCUUAGCAAUUGACGUUAGCGACAGAAGAAGCACCGGCUAACUCCGUGCCAGCAGCCGCGGUAAUACGGAGGGUGCGAGCGUUAAUCGGAAUUACUGGGCGUAAAGGGCACGCAGGCGGUUAAUUAAGUUGGAUGUGAAUCCCCGGGCUUAACCUGGGAAUGGCAUUCAAGACUGGUUAGCUAGAGUCUUGUAGAGGGGGUAGAAUUCCAUGUGUAGCGGUGAAAUGCGUAGAGAUGUGGAGGAUACCGGUGGCGAAGGCGGCCCCUGGACAAAGGCUGACGCUCAUGUGCGAAAGCGUGGGGAGCAAACG